rnacentral:tRNA from 1 species
UGUGGGGAUAGCUUAGUUUGGAGAGGUCAGACUAAAGAUCUGAAGGCCACGUGUUCGAUCCACGCUCACCGCAU